CUUAACGGGAUGGCUUUUCAUUAGUGUAAAGAGCUUUUGGAAUAAGAGCUGGGCAAGACCGGUGCCAGCCGCCGCGGUAACACCGGCAGCUCUAGUGGUAGCAAUUUUUAUUGGGCCUAAAGCGUCCGUAGCCGGUUUAAUAAGUCUCUGGUGAAAUCCUGCAGCUUAACUGUGGGAAUUGCUGGAGAUACUAUUAGACUUGAGACCGGGAGAGGUUAGAGGUACUCCCAGGGUAGAGGUGAAAUUCUGUAAUCCUGGGAGGACCGCCUGUUGCGAAGGCGUCUAACUGGAACGGCUCUGACGGUGAGGGACGAAAGUUAGGGGCGCGAACCGGAUUAGAUACCCGGGUAGUCCUAACUGUAAACGAUGCGGACUCGGUGUUGGGGUGGCUUUGAGCUGCUUCAGUGCCGAAGGGAAGCUGUUAAGUCCGCCGCCUGGGAAGUACGGUCGCAAGA
rnacentral:rRNA from 1 species